UGAUGGGCAGACCGAGCUCGGUAAUUGCUUACGGGCUUAAGUUUUGGAACUCCGCUUCUUGUUACGGAAAACUUUCAAUUAUAACUGCUCGUGGGCUAUUUAUAACAAAAUCCGCCCUCGGGAUGGAGGAAUUUUUUGAUAAAACUCCGGUGAGAGAAACUUUACAAUACGGUCGCGCUUGGGAGGCAAGUGAAUUGAGGCUUAAGAGCAAUACCGACCUACACAAGUUGUGGUAUAUUUUACUUAAAGAAAGAAAUUUAAUUCUUACUCAUCGCUAUGAUGCUUACCGUGAAAAUAAAAAAAUGCGUGGUGGCGUAGAACGUUAUAAAAUGGUAAGACAAUCAAUGGCCAGAAUUAAAAAGGUUAUCAGCGAACGUGAAAAAGCUAUAGAUCCACCGGAAAAACGAAAAGUUAUCGUAAAGGUUGUUAGAUAUGUGAGCAAACCUAAAAAUAUUAUACGGCCACUCCUUAAACGGCGAGAACGGAAGAAUAAGGACAGGAAAUAUAAAGCUAUUCGUGUUAAGGGGAAAACUAUAUAUAUAAAGUACAUCAAU